rnacentral:tRNA from 1 species
GCCUUCGUGGUGUAGUGGUCAACACACUUGGCACGUAUUCGAGAGGUCUGUGGUUCAAGUCCCGCCGAGGACA